GGCACGGGGGGACUCCUACGGGAGGCAGCAGUAGGGAAUCUUCCGCAAUGGGCGAAAGCCUGACGGAGCAACGCCGCGUGAGUGAUGAAGGUCCUAGGAUCGUAAAACUCUGUUAUUAGGGAAGAACAAGGAUGUAAGUAACUGUGCAUCCCUUGACGGUACCUAAUCAGAAA
rnacentral:rRNA from 1 species